rnacentral:rRNA from 1 species
GAUGAACGCUGGCGGCGUGCCUAAUACAUGCAAGUCGAACGAGGUGCUUUUGUAGCAAUCCGCGAGUAUCCUAGUGGCGAACGGGUGAGUAACGCGUUGGUGACCUACCCCAACGUGUGGAAUAACAGUCCGAAAGGAUUGCUAAUACCGCAUGUGGUUAUCGGGUUUAGAAACUGAUAACUAAAGGAGCAAUUCGCUUUGGGAGGGACCUGCGUCCCAUCAGCUAGUUGGUGAGGUAAUGGCUCACCAAGGCUACGACGGGUAGGGGACCUGAGAGGGUGACCCCCCACAAUGGAACUGAAACACGGUCCAUACACCUACGGGUGGCAGCAGUAGGGAAUAUUGCACAAUGGGCGAAAGCCUGAUGCAGCAACGCCGCGUGCACGAUGAAGGCCUUCGGGUCGUAAAGUGCUUUUCUGGGAGAUGAGAAAGGACAGUAUCCCAGGAAUAAGUCUCGGCUAACUACGUG